rnacentral:rRNA from 1 species
CAGUAGCCGCGGUAAUACGAAGGGGGCUAGCGUUGUUCGGAUUUACUGGGCGUAAAGGGUGCGUAGGCGGACUGAUAAGUCAGGGGUGAAAUCCCAAGGCUCAACCUUGGAACUGCCUUCGAUACUGUUAGUCUUGAGUUCGAGAGAGGUGAGUGGAACUGCGAGUGUAGAGGUGGAAUUCGUAGAUAUUCGCAAGAACACCAGUGGCGAAGGCGGCUCACUGGCUCGAAACUGACGCUGAGGCACGAAAGCGUGGGGAGCAAACAGGAUUAGAUACCCGCGUAGUCCCUGUCUCUUAUAC